ensembl:snoRNA LOC120096425 small nucleolar RNA U13
AUCCUUUUGGUUCAUAAAGCGUGAUGAUUGGGUGUUCACGCUGCAUGCAUGACAUGUGCUGCCCACUAAACCUUGUUACGACAUGGGCACAUUACUUGUCUGACG